rnacentral:rRNA from 1 species
UACAGAGGUCCCAAGCGUUGUUCGGAAUUAUUGGGCGUAAAGGGUGCGUAGGCGGUAGGAUAAGUUAGAUGUGAAAUGUCGAUGCUUAACAUCGAACCUGCAUUUAAGACUGUCCUGCUUGAGCGCUAGAGAGGAGUCUGGAAUUUACGGUGUAGCAGUGAAAUGCGUAGAUAUCGUAAGGAAGGCCAGUGGCGAAAGCGAGACUCUGGCUAGAUGCUGACGCUGAGGCACGAAAGCUGGGGGAGCAAACGGG